GUAUACUGAAAGGGGCCUGAAACAGAUACCCUGUAAUUUACAUCCCUGCGUUAGUGCCUCGGUGAGGAAAGGCGGCCUUUGCUCCAAAUUGGCAUGUCCUCUGCCGGCACUGAGGAGAACUGUACCGGAGAAGAUGUAGGACCUGUGUCAGUGUACUUGAUCCCUGGAUUUCAUCACACAUGACUUCACUGCAACUGCUUUGCUUUACCCCUUGCUCAACAACAGAGGCUUUUGUACUGGUGUUUGGAAAAGUGCACCUGCUGAAGCAGCCCAGUCCGUGGUUGUGGUGGUUAUAAAGCUUCAGCAUACCUGCCAGUAAAGGCUCCCUUGCCAUUUUCACACAUACUAUGGAAUAAAAGAAACAUAUCACAAUGCCACAGAAGCUUUUCUCCUUCACUCCAUGUUUUCAUCAUCAGUGAACAUCCUUUGGAUCAAAGAUUGAUCCCAGGAAAAGGU